rnacentral:tRNA from 1 species
GUAGAAGCUGGUGGGCACAUCAUCGUAGCGACUUCUAAUCCGACGGUCGCAAGUUCGAAUCUUGCCGGGGGCACCA